CUGUUGUAAAAAGGAUUGAGUUCUUGAUUGAUUCCCAGCUUGGUCAUUGGUGUAUAGCAGUGCUACUGAUUUGUUUACAUUCAUUUUGUAACCUGAGACUUUACUGAAUUCGUGUAUCAGAUCUAGGAGCCUUUUGGUUCUUCAUCGGGUAAUUGAGCUGAUAUCAGGUGUCUGAAGGAGGCAAGUUUUGAAGAUGUGGGUCAUGAUGGCUGCUGAAGCUUCCACUCCAUAUUUGAAGGUCAGCAGUUCUCAGGAAACCUCUAGCACUUCCAUCCCUGGUGGGAUGUGAUGCCUGUCUCAGUGUAACAUCAGAGAAGGGGUGUACUCUGUGCCCUAGAACUAGGAGCUAACAGAGAAAAACCAAAUGUGAUGUGGAGUCUGCUAGACAGGCUACUGGAGCAAGAGUGAAGCGAUGAAAGUCUCAUCAUUGGGACAUAUUAGGGAGGCAGCAGGUGGCUGAAAUCCUGGUGUGAUGUGGCUGGAUCAUGCAUGAUCUGAGGACUCCUGCACAGGUGACUGCAGGAUGAGUACAGAAUUUUUCUAUAAAUAUACUAAAAUACCAAGUAAGCCAGGAGCAGCCACUAGGCAAACACCAAACCUUGCAUUCCUGGCCAAACCUAUCACAGAGCUCAUCAGAUGCAGUGGAUCCCCAGGUUGCAAGUCAUAUAACCUGAGCAUGCCCAGAUGAACCAAGUAUGCCUGAUUGGUGAACCUGGAACUGGCCAGAACAGAAAAUGUCAACCACAUGUGGAAUCUAAGUAUUCAGAUUGAGAAAUGAGGACCAAAAUGAGAACACUGAGCUCCUCACACAGGUGACUGAACCCGUGGUUUUGGUGUCUGAGAAGAUGCAGCUUCUCCAGUCUCUGCAACUGACGGCAGGAAGAUGGGAGCACUCAGCUUCAGUGUUCAGAAGCAGAUUUAGGCCAAUUGCCAUACCUUACGUUCUGGAGGGAUCCACCCUGACCUGAGCAGGCAUCACACACAUUCCCAAGCAGCAUGGUUCCCGUGAGAAACUGAAAACUAAUUUCUUGAAUCUACAAUGCGA
rnacentral:lncRNA from 1 species